AGAGAAUCCAUCAGCAGCUACACGUCUUCCCUCAGUGCUGCCUUCAAGUCUGCCACUUGUCUUUGACAAUGACUACAAACUGCCAGAGGAGGCAGUAGAGGGCACCAGCAAGUGUCCAGUUGCCAGUGAAGCAGCCGCUUCCGUGUCCACUGUCCUCCAAGAGGAGUUUUUGGCUGGUAAAAGUCCUCCUGCACCCGCAGCACUGCCUCUAAGGCUGCCCUGUACCCACAGCAUUGACCACAAACAGCUAUGGGAGACAGUUGAGGACAACACAGAGCGCUUAGUUGACACAGAGGAAAGUGCAGUUUCAUCCACUGUCAAGAGAGAGGAACUGAUAGGUGAUACAAACCCUGUCCUAGCACUUCCUCCAAGCCUGGCAUGCAUCCAUGACAAAGACCACAAUGAUCCAAAUCAGAAAGGGAGGGGCACUACUAAGGAGGUGUAUCUCUGCCCUCACGCUCACCAGCUGGACCCAGAUGCUAACUUAACUCUGUCAACCCACAAUGAUGAACCCAGGACCUGGACCCUGGAAGAGACAAAGGAUUAUAGGAUUGGCAUUGACAUUGAGAGUGAAGAGAGGAGCGUCCAGGAGGAGGUGAGACCGAGGGAGGGGUUGAAGUGUGAUGCGGACUGUGCCCAUUCCAAGAGCUCCAAUGGGAUGGUUUCAUCAGAGAGAGCAGAGACCAUCCUGGGAAGAGUGGGCUUUCUGGUCAGGAACCACAUGCAGAAAAUCCCAUUUUUGAAGAUGGAGGAAAAAGAGGAAUGUAAGAAACUGAAUAAGAAGUUGAAAGAUGACGAGAAAGAGAGAAAGGAGAUGAAAAACAAGGAGGAGGAGCAAAAAAAGAGGGAGAAGAAAGAGAUGAAAGAGAGAGAGAAAGAGCAGAAGAAAGUCAUGAAGGCUGAGAAAAAGAGGGAGAAGUUAGAACAGAAAAAGAGAGAGAAGGAAAGAAAAGAGGAGGACAAGGCAGAGAAAAAGAGGUUAGAGGGGCUGAUGAAGAUACAUAAUGACAUGAUGAAAGACAGGAUUAAGAAAGAGAAGAAGUGUUCUGAUGAGCUGAAAAAGAGAGAGAAAGCUCAAGCUGAGUUCCUGGAGAUGGAGAGAAAGAUUCAAGAAAAGGAGGAGAAGAAGAGAGAAAAGUUGAGGAAAGAGGAGAGGAAGAGACUGGAGAAGAAGAAAAAGAGUGAGCCAGUUGGAGGUGGAACUGAGAGGGUGAUAGAAGAGCAGGGGAGGGAUGAAAGCUUGAAGAUGGAUGAGUAGACUGGUUAAUAGAGAGAGAGAGCAGGGAGGAAUACUGUAUAUUUGCAUGCAUUGAAAAAAGG
rnacentral:lncRNA from 1 species